rnacentral:lncRNA from 1 species
AGGAAAAGAAUUUCCCUCCAGUCUCUGGUACUUGUCAUGCCCCUGUUGUUGCCAUUAGUGAAAUACGAACCGCAGCACCGAAUCCUCUCGAGCAGCCUGUCCAAGAACUUCCUCAACAGUCUGUGCAAGAACUUCCCCAACAACUUGUUGGGCCCAUAGUUCAACAAAGCCCUGUGACUGUGACUCCGCCAUCUAAACGGGGCCGGGGAAGGCCAAGGAGGACGGCAAUAGUGA